AAGUCGUAACAAGGUUUCCGUAGGUGAACCUGCGGAAGGAUCAUUAUCGAGUUAGGGUCCUCUGGGCCCGAACCUCCAACCCUAUGUUUAACCACUUUGUUGCUUUGGCAGGCCCGUCUCUUCACGGGGACCGCCGGGGACGUUAGAUCGUCUCUAGCCCGUGCCUGCCAGUAGCCUAUUGUCAACUCUUUUUAACCGUGACGUCUGAAUCAUAAAUGAUAAAUUUAAUUAAAA
rnacentral:misc_RNA from 1 species